AUGCCAACGCUGCCGCCACAUAGCUCUGGCUCCUGCACCUCACCGCCGCCUCCCCACAGCUGCACUCCGGCUACUACUUCGUCGCCGUCGCCAGCGCGGAAUCAGUCGAGGACAGGUUCGAGGGCCGGAUCUCCAUCCCGCACACGGAGCGCGUCGUGGCGCCAGACUCGACGGCGAUGCCCACCGCGCGGCGCAUCCGGUUUGCCGCCCGGCGAUGGAUCCAAGCGGCGUCGGCCCCCGCGCAGCCCCGACGACGGAUCCGAGGGCGACGCCCGACCCCCGACCCCCUGUGCUAGCCGCCCUCCACUUCGCCACCCGCCGGAUCCAGCUCCUCCACUUCGCGACCUCGUCGGCGUCGUCGGGCAGCUCCUGGGCAUGAGGAGGUCCAGCCCGACGCCAUUCCUAUGUGCAUGA
rnacentral:rRNA from 1 species